rnacentral:rRNA from 1 species
ACAUCCAGCGAACUUGGCAGAGAUGUCUUGGUGCCUUCGGGAACGCUGAGACAGGUGCUGCAUGGCUGUCGUCAGCUCGUGUUGUGAAAUGUUGGGUUAAGUCCCGNAACGAGCGCAACCCUUAUCCUUUGUUGCCAGCGAUUCGGUCGGGAACUCAAAGGAGACUGCCGGUGAUAAACCGGAGGAAGGUGGGGAUGACGUCAAGUCAUCAUGGCCCUUACGAGUAGGGCUACACACGUGCUACAAUGGCGCAUACAAAGAGAAGCGACCUCGCGAGAGCAAGCGGACCUCAUAAAGUGCGUCGUAGUCCGGAUCGGAGUCUGCAACUCGACUCCGUGAAGUCGGAAUCGCUAGUAAUCGUGGAUCAGAAUGCCACGGUGAAUACGUUCCCGGGCCUUGUACACACCGCCCGUCACACCAUGGGAGUGGGUUGCAAAAGAAGUAGGUAGCUUAACCCUCGGGAGGGCGCUUACCACUUUGUGAUUCAUGACUGGGGUGAAGUCGUAACAAGGUAGGCGUAGCGAG